UCUUUCUCCUCUCUCUCUCUCUCCCCUCUCGGCUGGAAUAAACCCACUCUUUGCCCCAAACUUUGGCGUCUCAGCGUUUGGUUUGCUGUGCGACGGGCACGAUAAACCUGGUUGGGUAAAAUUCGGCGAGCCGGGCAGGAGGGGAAGUUCAGAUGGACCUUUUGCUUGGGGCUUUUUGGCCCCUUGCUGGUACAGAGAGCACGUGGAAAGGUCCAAGCAGCUGCCUGGUCCAUUUGUUCCACGACCGUCCCCAAAUUUCCCCUGCCAGGUGCCACCGACAUUUCAUUUUGAAGCAGACGGUUUUGGGUUUGGAAGACAUCUUGUGGGUUCCCCCCGCCCCGCCAUAUACAGAAGAAACAGAAGGUGCUCUUGGAACGCCGAGUCUCAACCUGUUGAGAUUGCCUUCAGUUUCCAACGGCAGGGACCAGGCUCAGGAGAAAAGGGAGCAAGAGAAUGAAACAACAGGCCACUCUGCUGGCGGCUGCCUUACACAGGGAAGAGCCGGACCAAGCUGAGGACCCUACGAGGGACUUGGCAAAAGGUCUGGUCCUUCUCUACAGCGGUUGUUACAGACAGUCCUGAAGUAGCUGGAAUACAGCCAGCAAGGGCCCAGGUGGAGCAACAAUUCAUCUUGCAUCUGUAAGUAUAUAUUUAUUUCCUUUGGUGCCUUGCACAGUAAGGCACUAUUAGUAACAGAAUAGAAAUGGCUACAGCAAGUAGUUCUAGUGACAAUUUACUAGACAAGUUACAGUUUAAUGGUGGUGGUGAUUUUCAUUUUAUUAUUUUUUACAAUAAGGGUGUAAUCUUUAUACUCCACACACACAAAAUAAAACAAGAAGUGCUUAUGAAAGAGUCCC